rnacentral:misc_RNA from 1 species
ACAAUGUAAAUCAUUCUAGCAUUUCCCACAUACAUAUCUAUCUAUAUUCAUUAACAUCAAUAUAUAUAUGGGAAAUAUUAAAAUGACUUACAUUGUGAAA